GUUUCACCAUGUUGGCCCAGCUGGUCUUGAACUCCUGACCUCAAGUGAUCCACCCACCUCAGCCUCCCAAAGUGCUGGGAUUACAGGCAUGAGCCACCGUGCCCUGCUUGGACUUAAGCUUUUAUCUUAUUUCCACCUAGGAGUGGAAAUGCUAGGUCAUAUGGAAACUACUGGAGGAUGUGGUGCACCAGAAUAAGAAAAUAAACCAAGAAACAGGAAGACGUGAUCCAGGCAACAGGAUAUUCCAGUAUAGACACUCCAGGAAAAACAAAAUCUUUUAAUCAGCAAAAUCCAUCAUAUUACUUAAGUCACAGAUGCUUACCAAGGAGAAGAGGUCAUUCUGUAAUCCAAGUCGAUCCACAGGGGGCAGAGAAAGGUCACGAAUGCCUGGUAAUAAACUUUCCAGCAUGGCAGAGCUGUACUGGGUCCGAUAAAACCCAACUGUUCCUAAGUUUAACUGCAAAGAUAUCCAAGGAGGGAGACAACAUUUCUGUGACAAAUGCUGGAACUAGCACAACCAAAUGUCUCAUGAGUAUACAAAGUGCAAUUGUGAUGAAGACGGUAAUACUACAGAGAAAAGUCCAAAUAACUAAAACGCCAGAGACAACAAUGGGUCUGGCUCUGUCACCCAGGCUGGAGUGCAGUACUGUGAU